AGAGUUUGAUCAUGGCUCAGGAUGAACGUUGGCGGCGUGCCUAAUACAUGCAAGUCGAACGGGAAGCCUUGGAGUAAUCUAAGGUGGAGAGUGGCGCACGGGUGAGUAACACAUGGCUGACCUGCCCCCCAGAGGGGGAUAACCACUGGAAACGGUGGCUAAUACCCCGUAUGCUCACGAUGGUUAGAGGCAUUGUGAGGAAAGGCUGAGGCGCUGGGGGAGGGGGCUGUGGCCCAUCAGCUAGUUGGUAGGGUAAAGGCCUACCAAGGCGAUGACGGGUAGGGGGCCUGAGAGGGUGGUCCCCCACAUGGGCACUGAGACACGGGCCCAACUCCUACGGGAGGCAGCAGUAAGGGAUAUUGCGCGAUGGGCGAAAGCCUGACGCAGCAACGCCGCGUGCGGGAUGAAGGCCUUCGGGUUGUAAACCGCUUUUCUAGGUGAAGAGGGAGGACGGUAACCUAGAAUAA
rnacentral:rRNA from 1 species